GAUGAACGCUGGCGGCGUGCCUAAUACAUGCAAGUCGAGCGAACAGACGAGGAGCUUGCUCCUCUGACGUUAGCGGCGGACGGGUGAGUAACACGUGGAUAACCUACCUAUAAGACUGGGAUAACUUCGGGAAACCGGAGCUAAUACCGGAUAAUAUAUUGAACCGCAUGGUUCAAUAGUGAAAGACGGUUUUGCUGUCACUUAUAGAUGGAUCCGCGCCGCAUUAGCUAGUUGGUAAGGUAACGGCUUACCAAGGCAACGAUGCGUAGCCGACCUGAGAGGGUGAGGGGCCACAGUGGAACGGAGACAGGGAACAGACGCAGAGGGGAGGAAGAAGUGGGGAAUCGUGCACAAGGGGAGAAAGUCUGAAGGAGAAACGACGGGGGAGGGAAGAAGGUUUGCGGAUCAAAAAACUUUGUUAUGGGGAAAAAAAAAAGGUAAAAGAAAAUAUGCAGGUCUUGAAGGUACAAAAAAAAAAAGCCACGGAAAACUACGUG
rnacentral:rRNA from 1 species